rnacentral:rRNA from 1 species
AACGAACGCUGGCGGCAUGCCUAACACAUGCAAGUUGAACGAGACCUUCGGGUCUAGUGGCGCACGGGUGCGUAACGCGUGGGAAUCUGCCCUUGGGUUCGGAAUAACAGUGAGAAAUUACUGCUAAUACCGGAUGAUGUCUUCGGACCAAAGAUUUAUCGCCCAGGGAUGAGCCCGCGUAGGAUUAGCUAGUUGGUGGGGUAAUGGCCUACCAAGGCGACGAUCCUUAGCUGGUCUGAGAGGAUGAUCAGCCACACUGGGACUGAGACACGGCCCAGACUCCUACGGGAGGCAGCAGUGGGGAAUAUUGGACAAUGGGCGCAAGCCUGAUCCAGCAAUGCCGCGUGAGUGAUGAAGGCCUUAGGGUUGUAAAGCUCUUUUACCCGGGAUGAUAAUGACAGUACCGGGAGAAUAAGCUCCGGCUAACUCCGUG